rnacentral:lncRNA from 10 species
CAUUAAGUGAGAUGAUUCUAGUUACAGACUUAGAACAAUUUCCAGCACAUAGUUAAAUAUCCAGGAAAUUCUGGUACUGUUAUGUGUGGGUGAGCUGACCUGGAUGUAGAUGUUUUCCUCUCUCUUGCUGACCCCUCCGCCAGUUUUGUCUUGUGAUGCCAUUAACACAUCUCUCCCUUUCUGACCUGGCUCCUGCCCAUUGGUGUCCCAAGAAAUCGUGAGAAUAGUUAGCCCCCCGUCUCCCCAGCCUGUUGCUUUCUCGUGUAGUUGUUCACAGUAGUUGAGAAGUUGAAGAGCUUUUGCCUAUUGAAGGUGCACUGAGAAUAAACUCUUUCCUGCCACCAGAAUUGCAGUGGUUCACGGCCUGCACUCAUUCCCAUGAAUGCAGUUAAUAGCCACAGAAAUGUCACAUUAAGCAAAGCAGCCAGGGUCUCAUCGUGUUGAGACUCGAGUCUCUCAGACCUUGGAUUCAUUCCCUGGUGUCUUUGAGCCUCAGUUUCCUCAUUGGUAAAAGAGAAGUGAAGCAGUGUCUCACAGGGUCAUUACAGAGAUUAAAUGAAAUAAAUGAAAUAACAUAGACCAGGAGGGCGUGGUGUUUAAAAGUCACAGAUGGGGCACCCUCGGGCCAUCCAGCCCAGUGUUUUCUUUAGCCCCUAUGAUGUUCAUUUUUUGUUAUAUCCCAUUAGGUGCCCAUAUUUAAAAAUUGGGAGAUUUCACAUAAAAUUAAAAGGUCUGCAUUUUCUUUUUUCUUUUCUUUUUUUUUUUUUUUGAGACACAGUCUCACUCUGUCACCAGGCUAGAGUGCAGUGGCACGAUCUCAGCUCACUGCAACCUCUGCCUCCCAGGUUCAAGUAAUUCUCCUGCCUCAGCCUCCCAAGUAGCUGGGACUACAGGCACGUGCCACCACGCCCAGCUAAUUUUUGUAUUUUUAGCAGAGAUGGGGUUUCACCACAUUGGCCAGGAUGGUCUCGAUCUCAACCUCGUGAUCCACCCACCUCGGUCUCCCAAAGCGCUGGGAUUACAGGCGUGAGCCACCGCGCCAAGCCAAGGUCUGCAUUUUUCUUUAGAACUCAGAACACCCAAUAGUCCUAGGCCCCCAUCCUCGCAUGGCAGCAAGCUAAAUAAGCAUCUUCCCACUGCGAGUUGGGGCAUGACCCAGCCUAUGGUUUGCCAUACUCCCUCUUUUUCUCCGUUUUUUCAUUAAUUGUGAACCUGACCUGCAUCACCCUUUCAUGUCAGUGCUCUCCAAACCUGCUUGCUUGCACCCCUCUAGUCGAAAUAUUUUGUGCUUACCCCAAUAUAUGUGUGUGACUAUUGAACUCUAUUCGUAGACUGCUUGUACUAAUGUCAUUUGCAUCAUAAAAUAUUCAUAUCCAAUAAACAUAUUAAAAGGAUGAGAUAAGAAACCG